GCUACACUUUACACUCUUCUUCCUCUUUUUAAACUCCAGCUCAAAAAUGCUCAAUGAAGCUGUAUUACUCUCCAGGCUAGGGAAGAGCAUUACUAAAGGGGGGUUAUGAUGAACCCCCAUGGACUUAGCCAACCACCAAGAGCUGCUGGAAGGGCAUCAUCCCUAACUGGCUUCCCACCCUCGAACAUGGAGUGUAUGAGGAAUGCAGCUCUGAGUCAGCACAGAGGAACGCCAGUGAAAGCCAAUAUGAGACAGAGGAUGGAUUAUAUGAGAGACCUUAUGAGAGCUUGGACUGCCAUAAAUUUCCUGUUGCUACUGGAGCAGUGACACUCUGGAGGAUACAGCCGAGCAGUAUUUUCUUAGCUCGGUGACAGCCAAUCAAGAGAAAGCCCAUAAAACAUAUCACUUUUGUAAUUUUUUUCCCGUCUGUGCUAAGUUGCAGCUUUAAAAAUCCCACUGGGGUUCAAACCUGA